GUGCUUGCUUUGGCAGCACAUAUACUAAAAUUGGGAUGAUACAGAAAAGAUUAGCAUGGCCCCUGCAGAAGGAUGACAUCCAAAUUCAUGAAGUGUUCCAUAUUUUU
rfam:Myotis brandtii contig322720, whole genome shotgun sequence.